AUGCAUGCCCCUAAACAGCUACCAAUUGCUGCUAUUGUUGCCUCUAUUUUCUAUCUGAAGUUCAGUUCUAGUGCGGUGACUAGCGAAGCUAGAGAGGUACUGAAUGUUGAUUCGACCAUAACCCUUACGCACACCUUUAAUGUUGCUAGUGGUGGUGUUUAUGUUGUUACUUCGAUCGAGAAGGAAGUAGGAAGGAGAAGGAGAAGGAGCAGACUAGCAACCUUGACGUGGAGGAGAACGAGGAGGCCAAGCAUGCCGCCCAAGGUGCCCCUCAACGAACUGCUCAAGCUCGACAAAGGUUGCAGCAAAAACAAGUUGCCAAAGUCAAAGUCCCUAAAAAGCCUAUUCUUUGCAUCUUCAGUACUCACUCAGGUCCUUGUUGCGAUGAGAGCAGUAGCGGAGCUACAGCCCCAAACCUGGGCGGGCUAG
rnacentral:rRNA from 1 species